UCAGUCACAAAGCCUAAGUCCCUGUGGAUAAAUGGAUAAACACUUGUUUAAACCAACAGGGCAACUCUCCAACAAUAAACAAGGGACACAAUUGUCAAAUAUAAUGUAGGCUACGACCUCGAAAGUCUAACCGUCUGACGUCAGCCAACGUCAUAUCAUCACAUGAUCAUGCAGCACAUAAUGUGACAGAUGACCAAUGAAAACAUAAAACAUGAACCUACCUCGGCGCUCCCCCCUCUGGCCGCCCCACCCUGAGUGUCUGGCUGUAGCUGCACUGUCUGGUGGCUCCCUAUCUACAGUUUGGCCAUGAGAACAGCUACAGGGGAGACUGAUGAUUAUUCUGUCCAUGUUUCAUCUUCUCUGCAUAUCCUGUGUGCCAGUACCAAUUACGCUUGCCUCCCUCGAAAAUACACAGUGAAGUCAUUUUAGCAGACACUAUUCAGAGCAACUUAAAGUACCGAGGGCAUACAAACUUUUUUUUCAAAGGCACAUACACAUAAACAGACACUCAUUAGUUGCAAAUAAAGUCAGUUAUCCACAUAAAAACACUCUGUUUCACCCUAUAUCUUAUGCAUGUCAGGUACACAUGCCAACAGACAAACAGGCUUGCUCAUACUUUAGGCAUCUUUCCAGGCACAAACACAUGGAUACCCUUCCGUACUGCUUGCACAGUGAGCCUGUGUCCUUUGGUGUGGACCAUAAUGAAGUCCGGGAUCACAGGGGUGCUGGGUUGUGCUGCUCAUGGACAGUUGGAGGCUAAUUGUCUUUACCCUAUAUAAAACAGGAAAUCAUACAACAGAACAACCUUACAUGGAUGUGGUGCCACAUUCCUGAUAAUAGGCCCGUCGCUGAAUCACAAUUGGCUGUGUACUGCAAUAAAAUGGACGUGUGGCA